rnacentral:rRNA from 1 species
UACGUAGGGGGCUAGCGUUGUCCGGAAUCAUUGGGCGUAAAGAGCGUGUAGGCGGCCCGGUAAGUCCGCUGUAAAAGUCAAAGGCUCAACCUUUGAAUGUCAGUGGAUACUGCCAGGCUAGAGUCCGGAAGAGGCGAGUGGAACUCCUGGUGUAGCGGUGAAAUGCGUAGAUAUCUGGAGGAACACCGGUGGCGAAGGCGGCAUCCUGGACCGGCAUUGACGCUGAGGCGCGAAAGCCAGGGGAGCAAACGGG